UGUGUCUUAGUGCAAUGGUUAGCACGAUUGCCUCAUGAGCAGUAGAUCUUCGUUCAAAUCGGAGAGGCGCACGCA
rnacentral:tRNA from 1 species